GGGGCGGUAGCUCAGUUGGGAGAGCACCUGACUUGCAUUCAGGAGGUCGUGGGUUCAAGUCCCAUCCGCUCCA
rnacentral:tRNA from 1 species